GAUGAACGCUGGCGGCGUGCCUAAUACAUGCAAGUCGAGCGAACAGACGAGGAGCUUGCUCCUCUGACGUUAGCGGCGGACGGGUGAGUAACACGUGGAUAACCUACCUAUAAGACUGGGAUAACUUCGGGAAACCGGGGCUAAUACCGGAUAAUAUAUUGAACCGUAUGGUUCAAUAGUGAAAGACGGUUUUGCUGUCACUUAUAGAUGGAUCCGCGCCGCAUUAGCUAGUUGGUAAGGUAACGGCUUACCAAGGUAACGAUGCGUAGCCGACCUGAGAGGGUGAUCGGCCACACUGGAACUGAGACACGGUCCAGACUCCUACGGGAGGCAGCAGUAGGGAAUCUUCCGCAAUGGGCGAAAGCCUGACGGAGCAACGCCGCGUGAGUGAUGAAGGUCUUCGGAUCGUAAAACUCUGUUAUUAGGGAAGAACAAAUGUGUAAGUAACUAUGCACGUCUUGACGGUACCUAAUCAGAAAGCCACGGCUAACUACGUG
rnacentral:rRNA from 1 species